UUGGUCAUAAUCAUACCUUGUAAACUUAAUGAUUACAAUUAACAUAUGACUAGUUUUUUAUGUACAUCUGCUAUUAUUUCAUUUCUCCAUUGCAAUUAUAUGUCCCUAGGUUUGUUCAAGAAGUUGGAUAAAAUUGCUAGAGACAAGAACUGUCUAUUAUUCAAAAGGUGGCAGCAGAGCAUAAAAAAACAAGUUUACUGGACUGCAGCAUCAUCGAAAUCAGGCGCAGAGAAAGUAGCAAAGUGGAAAUCCCUAAUCAAUCACAUUCAGGAUAUACACGCACAUGAUGAUGCAGCAUACCCAAAAUGUGAUCAUCCAAUACGUGUGUCUAAAGACUGCAGAAAGUGGUUCCAACCAGGAUCAAAGGCAUUAUUCAAAGUUGAGAAGCUCCUCACCAACAAGACGGUCCUGAAAGAUGUGGGGAAGGUUAAAGUUGCUAUAUGUAAGAUUGACAACAAGCAUUUGAAAUGGGUACUGCAGUCCAAAUUCAAAAUAUUGGACAGUUGUCUGACCCGCCCCAGACUCGAAGCUCAUGCAGGUUGCCAGAAUGAGGACACGCAACAGGAUUUCUGGGCUUUAAGCUGUCUCCAUCUUCCAAAGAUGAUGUAGAGCUAUAGAGCGGCUGAUGCGGGUGAAGGCAGCCGCGCAGCGAGCACACUGAGCGGGCACAUGCAGCGAGUAGACGCUGAUGAAGAGCGGCCGCUGGAAGAGAGCGUGUCUGGGAAGGGCCGUCUGUGCGCCGGGCGCGCAUGUGAGAAUCCGCCCUGGAGGAACACGGAACUCUGGAUGUGUCAGUCAAAUGUUUAUUGGUGCUGCCUGAGGCUCAGCGCUGUACUGCUGUAAGUCCGUAACCCCGCCCCUUUAUGCAAAUCCAAGAGACACACAGUCUUGGCUGAGGGAGCAGACGCGCUCUGAUUGGUCAGCGACGAACCCAUUUAUAUUCGCUGACUGUCGCUCUAUGAAUGGUUGUCUAUUAACUUGUUCAAAAAGUAUCAGGAGUUGACAAGGGCUCUGGCGAGGAGGGAAACCGAGUUCGUGUUGAUUCUUCAAGACUAAGAAAAGAAGUUUGUGGGCACAACAGGACCUAAGAGCGCUCACUUCCUCAGCAGCAAAGUUACCAGAAGUAGUAAGUGGAAACGAAGACUGAGAGACACCAGCGUUAAAGUUUCUUGCCUGUAAAUCUCUGCUCUGCUGGGGGAGAUAAAAUGGCCCAAAUGAAACGAAGACGCACGUCAAGUAUUUUUUCUACUCAAGCAUGGCAGUGAUAAUUGGAUUGUGUGGACACCUGUAUGAGUGCAGUAUAUCCAGGGGAUUAGGGGAAUGGAUGGGUCUUAUAGGUUCAGUCCAAACCUGUGGGUCCAGUUGUAGCCAGGAUGUGACCCUCGAAUGCUUCAGCUGAAUUCUCCUGCUUUCGUCAUCAACUGGAGGGCCAGAGCUGCACACCGGUGACCGCAGUGUCAGCAAACGUGCUGCAUCAACUUUGACCUCCCAGUGAACACAAGAGUUGGAUCUGUGCUGAAAUGAUUGUGUAUAUGGAAUAUGCUUUUGUCAUUCUGCCAUACGUGGCUAGUUACUUUAAAAGGAAUUCAAAUCCAUGUUGUUUAAUAUAAGAUAUUACAAUGCAAGAUAACUGUCUUCAAAAAAUAAUCUUUACUAAUCUCUCUCUUUGAUAGCAGAAACUCUUGUUCUUUGUUUGAUACAUCGAAAAAUAGAAUAUUCUAAAAUGGUUGUAGAUUGCUGGUUUGUAAUUUUGUUUUCAGAGAUUCAAUGCACUUAAUACAUUUUCUAAAAUAAAAAGACAAAUCUUACAAAAAAAGUAAUUCUUAUAGCUUUAUAUCUGAUUGUCCUCUGAAAUCGUAGAAACAAUAAUAGCUAAAAGCAGACCUAAUCAUUAGACUUAUUAGUAUCAUGAGAUUUCAAACACCAUAUUUCAGACUGUUUACCCAGGGAACUAUUUGCACAUAAAGGAUUGUCUUACAUAUAUAUAUAUAUAUAA